AGAGAAGCUGCUGUAAAUGUCAGACAGAGGCUGUUUGUUCAGGGUGAUUGCAGUUUCAUGAGGAACAUCAGUCUCUCUGACAGCAGUUUACUAAGCCCACAUCCUGUAUAUACCUGCUGUGAUAAGAGGAACAUUGUCAGACGGAUGGGGCUCGCAAUCCCUAGCAGGUUGCCAGAUGACAGUGCCCAUUUCUUACUCAAACCCCGUCAGUUUACCAAUGUGAACUAAUCUCAGACUCUGAGAAAACAUGAAUGAGGUACUGUAUGAAGUUACUGUAUUAAUUUACUUCCUUACCAUCAGUUGUGAGGUCUGACUCUCUGUUGGAUGGUGUGGUUUUUCAUUGGAACGUGACGCAGCUGUACAUUUCCCGACAUAACCGAGCAACUAUUUAUUUACUGUAAUCCUUUGGCUUCGGUUAUUCGUCUCAGAUGUCAUGGCAGACCAGGAGGAUUCAUUGCGAGCUAUGCAGAACUGCUUCCGCAGUCAGUUUAGUAUGGAGGAGGUUGAGUGUGAAGACAUUGAAGCGAGCAGGAGAACAUCAUCGGUUGAUGAAGACAGUAUCUAUCUUGCCUGCACACUGUCACGAUCAUACGACCUCGGAGACUCUGAUCUUCACCACACUCCUGUUAUCAAGAUGGGCUGGCUGGACAAGACCCCACCUCAGGGGAGCCUUAUUUUCCAGAAGCGUUGGGUGAUGUUGGAUGCACAGUACCUGCGAUACUUUCAAAAUGAGAAGGAGGUCUACUCAAAGCGGAUCAUAGCCAUACUGUUUGUCACUGAAGUGCUUAACGUUGGAGAGCAGAAGUUUGAGGUGGUGACAAGGAACAGGACUUUCUUGUUCCGUGCUGAAAACAACACUGUCAGGGAGGAAUGGGUGUCAGUACUGAAAGAAACUAUUCAGCAGCGUCGUAGCAGCAUGGAGAUGUCCCUUAUGAACUUCAGUUUUACUAGUGGACAGCGUGAUAGUGGAGUCUCUCUCAUUAGUAAACAAGGAUACCUGGAGAUGAAUGGACUGCGCUCCAAGGUCUAUGUAGUCAUCUGUGCUGACAGGGUCUUCCUCUACGGGAACGCUGAGGAGCACAGCCAGGGUGUUGGCAUCACCUACAUUGAGAUGAAUGUGGGUACUGUGAAGAGCACAGACAAACGGUCCUUCAACCUCACCACCUUCUACAGAACAUUCAGUUUCCUGGCCGAGUCGGCGCAGCAGAGGGAUCAGUGGGUGGAGGCCCUGCAGGACUGUGUCAGUCGCUCUCUGUCCAGUGAUGUGGUGGCCCAGAAGAUCUGGGCUGUGGAGGCCAACCAGCGCUGUGCAGACUGUGGCGCCCCCCAUCCAGACUGGGCCUCUGUCAACCUCUGUGUGGUCCUUUGCAAGUGCUGUGCAGGUGUGCACAGGGGUCUGGGCCAGAGUGUGUCCAAAGUUCGCAGUCUGAGAAUGGAUGAAAAGGUGUGGACUGAUAACCUUAUUCAGGUGUUCCUGUUAGGUAACAACAGGGUAAACCUGUUCUGGGCAGCUAACACGCCACCAAGCGAGGCGCUCCAACCAUCAAGUGAUAGUGAGAAGCGCCAGCGCUUUGUCUCUGCUAAGUACUGUCAGGGGAAAUAUCGCCGCUACCAUGCUCUGUUUGGCCAACAGGAGGCCCUCAACAAAGCUCUGUGCAGUACCGUUCAGACGGAUGAUGUAUUGGAGACUCUGUCUCUGGUGUUCUGUGGAGCAGAUGUGAACUGUUAUACAGGUGAUCCAGAGCUGCCCAGCCCUGUGUCCGUGGCCCAACACUAUGGACAGAUAUUACAGGUGGAGUUCUUAACUCACAACCACAACACAGAUCUGCCAGGGUCUAGGGCUGGAAAUCACACACUCCUAGAGGCUGAUCUCCCCGUCUCACACACUGGUUAUCUCUUCAAGACCGCUUCUUCAAUACGGCCAGUAACAGAGUGCAAAGCAAGAGGAGAUUUUAGCCGUCGAUGGUGCUCUCUGAACCAAGGUAACUUCAGCUACUAUGAGAGCGAGAAGAGCUCCAGUCAGAGCGGCGGGAUGAAGAUGAGUGAUGUCCUGUGUCUGUUGGUCAAUCCCCCAGGGAAACAUGGUUAUGCCCAUUCCUUUGAGCUGUACCAUGACUCUGGGAGAGUCUAUCUAUUUGGAGAAGACUCCUCUGACAAAGUGAAAGGGUGGAUCAAGGCCAUCGCCAAGGCGCUGGUCCCCUCUGCAGCAGAGGACCUGGUGUGCUGGCCCUUUGCGAGGGUGGGUCGGUUGAGCUACACUGAGGGCCAGAGCCACCAUAGCCCCCUCCUGGGCUGGUUCUCCCUGGGGGGCUCCAGACUGCUCCUACUCCUCCACGGAGCAGAUCGAGUGGAGAACAUCGACCUGCGCAAAAUAAAGGAGCUCUCCAUGGAGCAGGAGGCUGGUGCUGGUGCUGUGGUGCUGGUGGACGGAGGCAGAAGCCUGCGUGUGGAGGGGGACAGGAGGCCUGACUUCCAGGGCUGGCUGAGUGGGCUCCAACAGGGCUCAGGGAGAGGAGAUGGCCCCCUGGACCAGCAGCAGCUCACUGACACAGACGUCCCUGUCAUCGUGGACCGCUGCAUGAGCUACAUCACACAGCAUGGUUUGAAGUCAGAGGGCAUCUAUCGGAGGUGUGGUGUGAACUCCAAGAUCGCCGCCCUGCUGUUCUUUCUCCGCCAUGACGCCCGGCAGGUCCGUCUGAAUGAAGGGGAGCGCCAGGUGGAUGACGUGGCAAACGUCCUGAAGAGGUUCCUCAGGGAAGUGGGAGAGGGGGUUUUCAAUGGCCAUCAGGCCUCUCUGCCAUGGCUCCACACCACUACUGUCAGUGCGAUGAGUGAGAGAGUGUCCCAGUACCAGGCCCUCCUCCACAGCCUCCCCCGAGUCAACAGAGCCACUCUGGGGGCUGUCAUCAACCACCUCUACUGCGUCCAGUGCUUUGCAGAUGAGAAUCAGAUGAACAUGCACAACCUGGCCAUUGUGUUUGGUCCCACGCUCUUCCAGAUGGACGGCACUGAUAACAGCGCAGGACAGGUGGUAGAGGAUCUCAUCCAGAACUACCAGGACAUCUUCAAUGUGGAUGCAGAGCAGUUUCAGAGACAGUUGGACAUGAUCUCGCAUGUCAUCAAAGCACAGAAGGAACACACAGAGGAGGAUGGCUGUUGGCCUGCUGCGUCUCUCUCUUCAUACUGUUCUGUAGGGAAGCCCCUCACCUCUCACCAUCUGCGGGGUUUACCUGGAGAGGAAGGAGGAGGGCUCUGAGCUGCUGGUUCAGAUCUCCCAGGAAGUGAGUGCUGAAGAGCUGGUAUGUAAGGUCCUGAGACGCAGGAACAUCCCUCCACAGCAGGGGGACUACUGGAGCUGCUUCCUGGUCGACAACAACCAGGAGAUAGAGCGUCCAUUGCACUAUCAGGAGCAAGCGCUGACUAUCUAUUUCUCUCUGGGCAAAGACUGUCAUCUGGUGGUCAAGAAGAACUGCUACAUGGAGGCCAUUCUUACCUACAUAGCAGGCAGGGUAGAUGUCUCCCGAAACGGCCUGAUCAAGUUCUGUGAAGAGAAAGGUCAAAGGGGUAAGGGAACCUUCAGCAGACGCCUCUGUGUGCUCAGUGGCUUGUCUCUAAGGCUGUACAAAGAUGUGAAGAGUUCUCAGCCUGAGAGGGAGUGUCAAAUCAACGCUCUGAAGGUCUACUGUGGUAUCAAGAGGAAGUUACAGCCACCGUCAUGCUGGGGGAUGACUGUAGUGUGUGAGAAGGCAGUACGAGACAUACAGCAAUGGUACCUGUGCUGUGAAUCAAAGAACGAGUUGAUCGAGUGGCUGGCCACUUUUAUGAGCCUCCAGCAUGAUGGUGAUCUGUGGCCAGCAGCUUCCAGGCUAGAUUCCUGAUCUGAGGCUGAAGGGGAAAUAACCUGAUCCUGCUUUCCCAUCCCAUCUACUACUAGAGAUGUUUUCAAGUCUUCAGGUCUUUCCUGGAAAGAAAUGCGCUUUCACUGUAUAUCAAAUCAAUAACCUCAAAGUAUAUAUUUUCUCUGUCAAUAUUUGGUUGAACCUAUUUAUAACCCACAGCUAUGGUAAUAACAGGGGAGGCAGUAUAGAACUACACUAUAACAACAAACUCCCAUUCUAGAAAUGAGUAACAAUAAUAUUAGAGGCACAUGAGAAAUAUAAUCUAAACGCUAUGUUGACUUUGAGGUUCCCUUUUAUGGGGACAUAAUGACCAUGUUGGAGAGCUGCAGUCGUAAAGCCAUCUAAGAUGAGACACAGUGCUUUCUGUUCAUGUCAUUAUGGUAACAGUGGUGGUCAGUAAUGAUUGGAGAGCAGGAUUUCUACGCUGUCACUACUCAAGACCACAGCUUGUUGCAUUACAGAGAUGUGCAGUUUAUAUUACUUUCAUUAAUUUCAUUAGCUCAUCCUUCAACAGAACCUUAACAUGAAAAGGAAUCUGAGUUGUAAGGCUAGCUACACAGCACCCUUAGAGCAGCCAGGGCAGGGAAAGGAGACCGAUCCGGUUGCUAUUGCAGAUUCAGCAUCGAUCCAGUGCCGGGCUGGUCGAAGCCCUAGAGGUUUCUCUCUCUCUGUAUCUAAAUCUGGGUCGUUCCACCAAGUCGGUGGCUUUUGAGAAGUGUAACUUUAAAAACAUUUUUAUCUUCAUAAAAAAAAAACGUUUUAAAUAACGUUUCAAAUAAAGUAACAGGGUUGAUGAUUUCAUUUUUUUAAAGCCAGAAAUCCCCUUGUGACAGGGGGAAUGGAAGCUUGUUGUGCACAACAGGGAGUGGCAGUUGAAUGCAAUCUUCACAACAUCAACAAAAAUAUUUUUGGGAUGUUGUUGUUAAGUUGGUUAAAAUCCUCCUAGAUGUCAGAGAGGGACCUGUCAAAAAGCUGACUUUUAGAACUUUAGUAAAUCUUUAUUCAUAUACAAAAAAUCUGAUUGAUUGAAUUCUUCAUGUUGUCUAUAUUAAAGAUGCACUACGGGGAUCUUAAGCAUAACACAUUUGUUGCAUAAUGCACAAAUUAUUGUACCAUAUCACACAAAAUUGCAGAAUACAUAUGAUUUCAUGCAAAUUGCAAAAUGUGUAACAUAUCACACGAAAUGAAAGGCCUAGUACACAAAAUAACAGAGAGCACUUUCGGCUCUGAGCACCACUUUCCAAACUACUGGCUGAAAUUAUACAAACGUUAGAGAGAACAUCUUUAAAAGGCCUUUCAUUUCAUACAUACAAGCUAUAAACACUACAUAUUGGUGCACAAUUUCUACUUCAAAUAUCAAAGGGAUGCAAAUGCCACUCUUUUUGUGGAACGACCCAUCUCCUCUUCACGAGCUGCAGAGAUGCUGCUGCUCAGAUAGACACCAUAACAGCAUUCCGCUGUACUGAGAGGGUGGACUGGGGUUAGAGCUGUGAAGACGGGGCCCUGUUCCAGCUGUUUGGGACUGUGACUGACAGGUGACAGCGAUGGGCCAGGCAUGUGGAAACUCCUUCUUGUGCCGUAGUCAGCAGUUCCAGCCAUCGACAACAGCAGAGAUGUAAGUGUAUACAUGUUGAUGCGCUGGGUGGUUGUGUCUGAAGUACAACAGAAUAUGCUGAUUAUACAUCAUUAUCUGAGUACCUGAUUGUGAUAACGAAAUGUUGAUAUCAUUGUGUAUCAUUCAAAGUUGAAUUUGUCUUUGAAAUACAAUGUGUAUGGUUUUUGUGUUUCUUAAAAUCAUUAUCCCACCGUUCCUUUUAUGUCUGAGGUCAGGAUGCUGUGGCCAUUAAAAAUCCUCUUUGACUUGGUUGGUUGAUCAAAGCAAAACAUUACCGAUUUAAUAAAUCCACUUCUACUGUAGAAGAAGCAUAGAAAUAAAAGGCCUGUCAGUGUUUGAUCAUUUCCCCUUCAAAAUAAAAAAAAAGUCUGAAGAGGUAGAGAAGUAGAUUAUUUCUACACCCUAGAUCUCUGAUGGUAAAUUGUUUAUUGUAGCCUUUGAUAUGGAUGUGUUUGCAAAAAUGGCUCGCCUAAAACACUGUAGUAGGUAGUCUCUUCACACUGCCGCUGUAUCUAGAGUCUAGACUAUUUGAAUGGCAAUCACAGUCCAUUUUUGUCAUAAAUAAAAACAUUUCAAGACUUU